UCUCCGUAGGUGAACCUGCGGAGGGAUCAUUACAGAGUUCUCGCCCUCGCGGGUAGAUCUCCCACCCACUGUUAUCGUUACUGUGUUGCUUUGGCGGGCCGCCGGGCCCCGCUCGGCCGCCGGCUCCGGCUGGCGCGCGCCCGCCAGAGGCCCAGCAAACCCUGAAUAUUAGUGUCGUCUGAGUACUAUAUAAUAGUUAAAACUUUCAACAACGGAUCUCUUGGUUCUG
rnacentral:misc_RNA from 1 species